rnacentral:rRNA from 1 species
AUUGAACGCUGGCGGCAGGCUUAACACAUGCAAGUCGAACGAGUGGCGGACGGGUGAGUAAUGCUUGGGAAACUGGCUUAUGGAGGGGGAUAACUACGGGAAACUGUAGCUAAUACCGCGUACCAUAGGAUGAGCCCAGGUGGGAUUAGGUUGUUGGUGAGGUAACGGCUCACCAAGCCGACGAUCUCUAGCUGGUCUGAGAGGAUGACCAGCCACACUGGGACUGAGACACGGCCCAGACUCCUACGUGAGGCAGCAGUGGGGAAUAUUGCGCAAUGGGGGCAACCCUGAUGCAGCCAUGCCGCGUGAAUGAAGAAUGCCUUCGGGUUGUAAAGUUCUUUCGGUAGCGAGGCGUUAACUACAGAAGAAGCACCGGCUAACUCCGUGCCAGCAGCCGCGGUAAUUC